CACCGCGGUUAUACGGGAGGCCCAAGUUGAUAGAAAUCGGCGUAAAGGGUGGUUAAGAACAAGCUUAAAAUUAAAGCCGAACGCCUUCAAGGCUGUUAUACGCAUCCGAAGGUAAGAAGCCCAAUCACGAAAGUAGCUUUAUAUAUUCUGACUCCACGAAAGCUAAGGCA
rnacentral:rRNA from 1 species